rnacentral:rRNA from 1 species
CUUGGUGUUCUUAGCAUUAUGGAACCACACUGAUCCAUCUCGAACUCAGUUGUGAAACGUAAUAGCGGCGAUGAUACUUAAAGAGGAGUCUUUUGGGAAAGUAGUUCAAUGCCAAG